GGUGCUCGAGUGGCGAACGGGUGAGUAACACGUGAGUAACCUGCCCUUGACUUUGGGAUAACUUCAGGAAACUGGGGCUAAUACCGGAUAGGAGCUCCUGCUGCAUGGUGGGGGUUGGAAAGUUUCGGCGGUUGGGGAUGGACUCGCGGCUUAUCAGCUUGUUGGUGGGGUAGUGGCUUACCAAGGCUUUGACGGGUGGCCGGCCUGAGAGGGUGGCCGGCCACAUUGGGACUGAGAUACGGCCCAG
rnacentral:rRNA from 1 species